UCUUUACCCUAUUCUACUGAAACAACUCUUCCGCCGAAAAAAUGUCUCAAACAAGAGAUCCUCGUCCACAACCUCGGAGCCUCCGACAAAGGAAGAACCAUCUCCCACACGACGUCGUACUGAAUAUCCUGACAAGGCUUCCAGUCAAAUCAGUCCUAAGAUUCAGGUGCGUUUGCAAACCUUGGGGCUCCUCAAUCGCUAGUCCUAAUUUCAUCUCCACCCACCUUAAUAACACCAACAACGAUGAUGAUCAAGAUCAAACUUUUCUCAUACAGACGCGUAUUCAAUAUAAUACGCGUAAGAUUCCAAUAAUCUCUAAGGUUCUUUGUUGUGACCGCACGUUUGAUUGGCUUUUUGAGUAUCCAACUCCCUCUGUUUUUGAUUUAAACAUGUCCCGAAUGGUCGGUUCGUGCAAUGGUUUAGUGUGUCUAGUUCAACAUGGAAAUCGUUCUAUAUAUUUGUGGAACCCCAGUAUUAGAAAAUUUAAGAGAUUGCCUGAUUCGUGUCUAAGCCAACAUUUUUCCAUUGGCCAAGAUGAUUGGGUUUCUACCGGAUUUGCUUGUCAGUCCAAGACAAAUGACUACAAGGUUGUAAAGCUUUGGUGUACUCCAGUUGUGGCCGAGGUUUACACAUUAAGCUCGGACUCGUGGAGAAGGGCUGAAAUCUCAUUGAAAUCCAAUGUUGUGGUCUCCUAUAUCGACUUUUUUACAGAUCCCCAUUUUGUUAGUGGGGCUUUGCAUUGGUUGGCUUAUCAUACUGAAGGUGAAAGGGAAGGGGAAUUCCUAGAUCGAAUGAUGAUUUUGUCAUUUGAUGUCGAUAAUGAGGAAUUUGGGGAGAUGGCACUACCUGAUGGAGAUAAAUUGCACCAGCGAAGUCUAUUUGUGUUCAAGGAAAAUCUGGCUUUCAUAACAUAUGGAUACCCCGAAAAUGAUGACGACAAAAUGCCAGAUUCGCAAUGCUUCAUUUGGGUAAUGAGGGAGUACGGUGUACAUGAAUCAUGGAAUAAACUUUUUUCUAUCCGGUUUGAAAAUGUUGAUAUAAGUUUCUAUGGUUGCACUGAACAUGGUGAACUUCUACUUGACAAGAAAGUCAAGGAAGAAUCCGAAGAUGGUGAAAUAAAAAUAUAUUAUUGCAAUGAGUCUACGAUUCUUUCAAAUGACACUGCGAUUGUUUCACUAGACCCUAAAACUUUACAUGAGAAGGACCUUAUUAUCCUACGAUAUGUUACAAAUAUAGUUACUACGUUCAAGGAAAGCCUUGUGUUUCUUGAUGGAGCAACCGAGCUAUCUGGAUAAGAACUGAAAUCAUUAGUGAUAAUCAUUGCAUUUUGUUAGGUAAGUGUGAUAUGAUUUAGACCAUUCUCAUGUUGUUUACUUUGGUAUCAUUUUGUUUUGCGGUAGGCAUAAAUUUACUGAUAUGAUGUAGGUGAACUUAAUUCAGAUGUCUAUCAACCCUUCAUGCUUGUGGCGAUUUCGUGAAAGAACAUAUAACAUUUUAAUUCUGACAUUUUUUGUGCCUCUCUGAUUGUGUUGCAAACUAUUAGAUUAGAGAUCUUACUUUAUCCAAAAAAUAAAAUAAAAAUGGAGCAAAGAAGAGGGAAGAAAAGAAGCCCUAUGAUGAGAAUGUUGAAACUGGGCUGUGGAAGUUCUUAUGUGGUGAGCAUAGGCCCAGCGAAGAUACAACUUGUUUUUCCAACAUGGCUAGAUCAUCCAAUGGUGCCACGAUUGAGUAAUCUCAGGGUGACUUGCCUCCUUUACAAUCAGUCAGGGUGACAUGCCUCCUUUACACGAUGAAUUUCCAUCCUCAGUUUUGGUGGCAGCACUUAAAGUUAAUGGGCUUUCAGAUUCUGUUCUUACAUGUUACAGUUGACUUUUGAUUUCUGUCAUACCAAUAUCUUGGAUCACAACUUCAAGAA